AUUGAACGCUGGCGGCAGGCCUAACACAUGCAAGUCGAGCGGAUGACGGGAGCUUGCUCCUGGAUUCAGCGGCGGACGGGUGAGUAAUGCCUAGGAAUCUGCCUGGUAGUGGGGGACAACGUUUCGAAAGGAACGCUAAUACCGCAUACGUCCUACGGGAGAAAGCAGGGGACCUUCGGGCCUUGCGCUAUCAGAUGAGCCUAGGUCGGAUUAGCUUGUUGGUGAGGUAAUGGCUCACCAAGGCGACGAUCCGUAACUGGUCUGAGAGGAUGAGCAGUCACAGUGGAACUGAGGGACGGUCCAGACACCUACGGGAGGCAGCAGUGGGGAAUAUUGGACAAUGGGCGAAAGCCUGAUCCAGCCAUGCCGCGUGUGUGAAGAAGGUCUUCGGAUUGUAAAGCACUUUAAGUUGGGAGGAAGGGUUGUAGAUUAAUACUCUGCAAUUUUGACGUUACCGACAGAAUAAGCACCGGCUAACUCUGUGCCAGCCGCCGCCGUAAAAC
rnacentral:rRNA from 1 species